rnacentral:rRNA from 1 species
AGAUUGAACGCUAGCGGGAUGCUUUACACAUGCAAGUCGAACGGCAGCGCGGACUUCGGUCUGGCGGCGAGUGGCGAACGGGUGAGUAAUAUAUCGGAACGUGCCCAGUAGCGGGGGAUAACUACGCGAAAGCGUGGCUAAUACCGCAUACGCCCUACGGGGGAAAGGGGGGGAUCGCAAGACCUCUCACUAUUGGAGCGGCCGAUAUCAGAUUAGCUAGUUGGUGAGGUAAAGGCUCACCAAGGCGACGAUCUGUAGCUGGUUUGAGAGGACGACCAGCCACACUGGGACUGAGACACGGCCCAGACUCCUACGGGAGGCAGCAGUGGGGAAUUUUGGACAAUGGGGG